CCUUGUUCAAUUGAUAAGGUCCAUACAAGAAUUAUCACUUUACUCUAUUCCUUCUCUCAAGCGCUGAAUGUUACUCUUUUCCCUUCCUCAAGCGCUGAAUAAGUGGAAUUUAAGCUGGAUGCUAACCUUGUAAUUAGAAACAAAAUUGGACCACCCUCACUCCCUCUUGGCCGUGCGUAUUUCGUGAGAGAAACUCAAGGAAAAGCCUCAAAGGAAAAACUCUACAUUAUCCUCAUUUCCUCUUCAUAGAAGCCGUGAACCCCUUAGACAAAAACACUCACCUCAACUUCCACCCUAUCUUCUUGCUGUUCGGCUGAAGGUACACCUCAAGGAGGGGAGGCGCUAAUUUUGUGGUCCUCCUUGUUGUCGUUGCUUUAUGUGAUUGGAUGGAGAACUCACUGCAUGCUGCUCGAAAUCCAGAGUCUUCCCAUCGUUUUCUGCUUUUCUUGCGUGCAGCCGAAGACCCUCACUCAAGGAGGCAAAGCAAUUUUCUCUCCUUGUUCAACGCAACCUAAAUCUGUCCCGAUCAAGCUUUGUUUCGUUUCCCUGCAUGCCCAUGAAUCAGCAGUGACUGAGCCCCUUUCCCUUGCAUGUAACUGGAUUCAGACCUUUGGAAUAUAGGAGAACGUAGAGGGCUGUCCCUUGGUUCGAUUUGGAACCCUGGAUGUGUAGUCAAGAAGAGGUGCACGUAACUCUUAUUGAGUGAGCUGAAUUUUGGUGUUGUUGAUUAUUGCUUGGACAUAAGGAGGACGUAAAAGCUUUUGAGGACUUGGAUAUUUGCUGUUGGCUUCUACUGUUUUGGGCAUGCUGCUAUUGAUGUGAUGUUUUAUGGAUAACUGUAUGAAAUUGAGAAGCUUUUAUUACUGCGAACUAUGAUUUUAUUAUUGCAUUACGAUUUUAUGACCAGCAAGUAUUUUGGAAACAGAUGUUGAAACGUUUGCGAAAAGUAUUUUGACAUGUUAUCUAAAUGCUGAGUUUUGAAAAGUCUUUGUGAGCACUUUGUAAGUUGUCGUACUGGGGCU